GCCGAGCCGUCCAAGGCAGUGAGUCCACAGUAAGUGGGGCGAGUUAGGCCGUUUCCGCACUGCUAUAAAGAAAUACCUGAGGUUGGGUAAUUUAGAAAGAAAAGAGGUUUAAUUGGCUCAUGACUCUGUAGGCUGCACAGGAAGCAUGGUGCAGGCAUCUGCUGGGCUUCUGGGGAGGCCUCAGGAAACAUAAUCAUGGCAGAAGGUGAAGGGGAAGCAGGCGGGUCUUAAUGGCGGGAGCACGAGCAGAAGAGCGGGGAGCGGCCACACACGUUUAAACGACCAGAUCUCGUGAGAGCUCCCUCACUAUCACGAGAACAGCACCGGGGACGGUGCUAAACCACUCAUGAGAAACCACCCCUGUGAUCCAGUCACCUCCCACCAGGCCCCACCUCCAACACUGGAGAUAGCAUUUCAAUGUGAGGUUUGGCAGAGACACACAUCCAAACUAUAGAAAGUGGGCAGGAUGGCUGGAGUGGCAAGUGUGGGGAGAUGAGGGAGGGUGUCUGAGGGCACUGGAGCCCGCCGGAGGGCAGCCACGGAUGAGGGGAGCUGAGCUGGGCUCGUGGAGGCGGGGUUUCUGUUGACCCGGAUGGAGAGACUGGGCGGGCCCGGCCCCAGCCAUCCCCGCUAGUCCGCUGAACUGUGGCCUGGGAAGUGGCUUUUCUGUUGGGCCACAUUAGUGCUAUUGAGUUCAAGGCUGAGAGCACAGAAAGAAUCCUGAGAAGCCUUUUGUGGGGGCCCAUCCCGUCCAGGCAUGCGCAGCUGUCAUGUGCAUGCCAUGAUGACCGUCACUGUCAGGACCGAGACAUCCUUGCGGUCCCACAGGUCGCCACCUCCCUGGCACAGCACACCUGCCAGUCACUUGGUCUUUGCCCGGGUGUCUCGCUGGGACCUACAGUUCACAGGCGCUCACACCUGCUUCCUGAAAGAGUAAGAGAAUGCUGCUGAGGUCGGACUGCACCAAAGCUCCCAGCCUGAGCUUGGCAGGUAGAAAUGCCUUCUGUGGUUACCAAGGCAGGUUAAUGUUCGGUAAGAAUUCCUUUCAAAUGCCUUCUAGUCUCCUGGAAAUUCUAUACAUGAACAGUAACCUGCCAGGGAUCGAAUUGCAAGCCAAAAGUCAUCCUAUGAGGGUGAAUAGAGUUCUCAAAGUUUUAUUUAGUAACCUCCCUUUACAAAGCUAUUUUUUUUCCCUAAGUGAGAAACAAAACCAGAAUUCUAACUCCGAGUUAAACCUAAGCAAACAGUGGUGAACACAAUGGAUUAUGGAGCUGUAACCGGAGCUGGGCCCAACCCUGAGCAAAUGGUGCAGCCAGCGAAGUGUGUCUUUGAUGCCCUCUCCUUUCUGUGGGCUCCACCUGCACCCUGAUCUGGGCUCCCUCACAGGCAUCUCCAUGAACUUCAAAGCUGGAACUCCACCCACAGCUGAGCUGCACCCAGACAGAGAUGCAGGCAGAGCUUUCUAAGGAACCCAAAUUAGCAGCUCAUGGACGCAGUGUUAAUUUGCUCUUGCUGCUGGCUGACUUUGAACUUAGUAUCUCAGUUUUCUCUCUGUGUCACCGGCUUUGAACUUCAAUGCUUUGGUGCCUGCAUUCUCUUUGUAACCCACUGUGCCCCGGGACCUCAGAGGGCCCCACGAACCCCAACCACCACCUGCCUGGACUCAGCCUGCCUCUGCUGCUCAAAUCCUCACCUGCCUCAGCACCCCAAGACAGACACCUCGGGCCCUGCAUGGGUUGGAGACAUUUAUUGGCAGUCCUCAUGUACUUCUCUGACCUUGGAGGGCUCUUUUGGUUUAAGACUGAAGCCCAGGACAGAGCAAAAGGAGAUGGAGCUGAGAAAAUGGGAUCGUCCUGUGUCUAUCCUGGGAUUCUGGGCUUUUCUGUCCAUUAAUUCACCGAAGGAGGAAACUUAGCUCCCUGAUCAUUCAAAACACUUGUGCCUUUUCCCCUCAACUCCUCAUUUUCUUUUCCUGACCAACCUCCAGUUGUCUGAUAAAUAAAUCAGUGUGACUUGCC
rnacentral:lncRNA from 1 species